rnacentral:rRNA from 1 species
GACGAACGCUGGCGGCGUGCCUAAUACAUGCAAGUUGAGCGCUGAAGGUUGGUACUUGUACCAACUGGAUGAGCAGCGAACGGGUGAGUAACGCGUGGGGAAUCUGCCUUUGAGCGGGGGACAACAUUUGGAAACGAAUGCUAAUACCGCAUAAAAACUUUAAACACAAGUUUUAAGUUUGAAAGAUGCAAUUGCAUCACUCAAAGAUGAUCCCGCGUUGUAUUAGCUAGUUGGUGAGGUAAAGGCUCACCAAGGCGAUGAUACAUAGCCGACCUGAGAGGGUGAUCGGCCACAUUGGGACUGAGACACGGCCCAAACUCCUACGGGAGGCAGCAGGAGGGAAUCUUCGGCAAUGGACGAAAGUCUGACCGAGCAACGCCGCGUGAGUGAAGAAGGGUGUCGGAUCGUAAAACUCUGUUGGUAGAGAAGAACGUUGGUGAGAGUGGAAAGCUCAUCAAGUGACGGUAACUACACAGAAAGGGACGGCUAACUACGUG